GCGAGGCUCCCGGGAGGCGGGGCCUGCGGGGGCGGGGCCCACGGGAGGGGCGUGGCCGUGAGCUGCUUGCUCGGGAUGUUGAAGUGGGAGUGUCUGCAGCGUUGGUGAAGAAUGGCCCCUCCGACAUCUGCGACGUCUGCAGGAAAGAGGCCGCGGAAGGCACGGGUGCUUCAGGGGAAGCACGGAGGAAUGGCCUGAGGGACAACCAGUGUACUGAAGACGGCGUUCCAAGAACCCACAGCAGCUGGUUACGGCUUCAUCCAUCCUACAGAGUGCAGACCCUGUUACAACUCCCGAACCAGAUAGCCUCCAGCACCCCGCCCUCCAAACGCUACCCUUGUGAAACUUGAAGGGGCCGUGGACAGAAGCCAGAGGAAGAAGGUGGAGACACAACACCCACGCACCUUCCCACGGCGAAUCUUGGAGUUUUAGAUGGCUAGUCCCGAGAACACUAGCCUCUCCCUAGCCCAGUUUAGAAACUUCUGAGGAUACAAGAUGAGUAGGCAGCAUAUGACGGCCUUGCCACAGGCAGUUGGUUUAGAGAGGUGGUCCAGUGGUUACCGGCGCUUGCUGCUCUCUAAGAGGAACUGGAAUUGGUUUCUAGCACCAUCUACAACUCCAGCUCCAAGGAAUCUGAUGCCCGUCUUCUGACUUCCUCAGGCACCGGGCAUGUGGGUGAUUCACAUAUGUCUAUGCCAACAAGACAUUCUUACACAUAAAAUAAGUCUUUAAAAAAAUCAAAACAGAAAAGUCAGUCUGGAGGACAAGGCUUAAAGGCAAGCAAGAGAGCUAGCUAACUCCUUCAUAAUGACUUCGUUUCCCGUACAUGUCUCAGGUGGCCCGGGGGAACAAAUAGAGCUUUUGGGAGUGGACCCAUCAAGCACCAUAGAAGCACAGUGUGUAUGAGAAGACCCUAAAAGGGUUGCUCAGAGAAGCCUAGCAUCCUGGACCCUGUUUGUUCUCCCAAGUUCAUUAAAUUUGUUUCCCUGGAACAAAAAGCUGGAACUUUUUCCAGUAGGAAGAAUUGUGGUUGAUUAAGAACGCACAUGGAAGGAGAAAACUACAAGUUUCCCCUGAGUACUUGGUACCCUGUUGGCAUAUUGUUUGGAAAAGAUUAGGAGGAGGUAUAUCACUCGAGGUGAACUAUAAGGUUUCAAAGACCAGGCCAUUCCCAGUUAGCUCCCUGACUCCUGCUUGUGGAUCAAGAUGUAAGCUCUCAGCUACUGCUCUAGUGCUAUGCCUGCCUGCCUACUGCUAUGCUCCCUGGCUAUGAUGUCAUGGACUCCAACCCUCUAAAAGCCCCAAAUAAAUGACUUCUUUUAUAAA